UACAGAGACUGCAAGCGUUAUUCGGAUUCACUGGGCGUAAAGGGUGCGCAGGCGGCCGUGUGUGUCAGGUGUGAAAGCCCGGAGCUUAACUCCGGAAUUGCGCCUGAAACUACAUGGCUAGAGCAUUGGAGAGGGAAGUGGAAUUCACGGUGUAGCAGUGAAAUGCGUAGAUAUCGUGAGGAACACCAGAGGCGAAAGGCGACUUCCCUGGACAAUUGCUGACGCUCAGGCACGGAAAGCGUGGGGAGCAAACAGG
rnacentral:rRNA from 1 species